AUCCAGCUGACGAGUCACAAAUAGGGCGGAACACGCUUCCUGGAU
rnacentral:hammerhead_ribozyme from 1 species